rnacentral:rRNA from 1 species
UCGGGAAUUUUGGGCAAUGGGCGAAAGCCUGACCCAGUAACGCCGCGUGAAGGAUGAGGUAUUUCGGUAUGUAAACUUCGAAAGAAUAGGAAGAAUAAAUGACGGUACUAUUUAUAAGGUCCGGCUAACUACGUGCCAGCAGCCGCGGUAAUACGUAGGGACCAAGCGUUGUUCGGAUUUACUGGGCGUAAAGGGCGCGUAGGCGGCAAUUCAAGUCAUCUGUGAAAUCUCCGGGCUUAACUCGGAACGGUCAGAUGAUACUGCUUUGCUAGAGUGCAGAAGGGGCAAUCGGAAUUCUUGGUGUAGCGGUGAAAUGCGUAGAUAUCAAGAGGAACACCUGAGGUGAAGACGGGUUGCUGGGCUGACACUGACGCUGAGGCGCGAAAGCCAGGGGAGCAAACGGGAUUAGAUACCCAAGUAGUCCCUGAGCGGGCUGGCAAGGCGCAU